CGAGUGGAGAGUCAUCGGGUUGUAAAUGCUGCGCGGUGCUGCUAACGGCCGGCCGGGAGAACGCUGACUGCGACAGGUUUGCUCCCAUAGGCCGCCACAGCCGCCCCUGCAGCAAUGCUGCCUGACACCACUGACCUACUUUUUCCUGCUUGUCUCUCCACGCCAUCCAGAGCCUCCCACGCUGCGUAGCUGCGCAGCUCCAGCCCUGUGGGAAGCAGUGUCGGCACCACGGCACAAAGCGCAGGCGCAGCAGCAUCCCACCAGCCAGGCCGUAAAAAAAUCUGGACCUUGCAGCACCAUCUAUUGGGAAGUUAAUGGCUUCGUACCAGCUGCCUUGACAAACAGUGAGCCUUUGAUUUGUUUGUCUGUUGUUGUGAGCUUUGAUGGGAUCAGCGUCUGACCUGGCCAUUACCUGCUGGUAAUUAAUCUGUAACAGAACAAUAUCCAUAGUAAAGUACGGCAGAACUAGAAUUCCAUGUAUGAACAGAAAUGAUGCUAGUGACAUUUACGCACAACACAGCCCUAUCUUCCUCCCAGGGACAGACCAUUAGAGGGAUAAAGAACUGUGUUCCUCUUUGCUGCACGCCAUGAGCUGUCCCAGAGUGAUUACUUGAAGUGGAGCUGAAAAUAUUUUACAGAGACCAUUAAGUAGCCAUCUGAUAGUGAUGCCUUAUGAUCAAUAUCUCCAGGAAAUGGCAUUUUCAAAGAUAAGAUCUUUAUGGCGCAUUGCAUCAAGCUUUCCCUCUGUUAGUGGAGUUAGGUGGUGUGAGAUGAUUUCUCCUACAAGGCUUUGGCAAACAGAGUGUCAAGCUGCCUUGCAACCUCAGCCUAAAUGUUUGUGACAGACAGAAUUUGGAUCUACAAGAUGUGAAAUUUACAGAUAAACAAAGGAGAAGAUGGAAGAGCACUUUUAUUUACGAUAUGUAAACAUCCAUUUCGCUCAACCCCAUAGCUUAUGUGAAGAUUCUGCUGAAUCUUAAUGCUGAAAGGAUUACUGAGGUCCCCUGUCAUGUUGAAAAAGGGUAAUAAUCAUGCCACAGAUCAUCUCAAUUGCUCAGAAUGAUACCAUAUGGCUCAAGCAGUGAAAUCAUGCAAGACUGCUGCUUCUGAAAGCAGAAUGUUCUUAGCCAGAAAAGGCUUUUCCUUUUAUUCUGUGAAUUUCAGACUUAACUGAAAACUGAUUCUGCUCCCUUGUCUUUCUUUCUGGUUUUAUGGAUCAAGUACUGCCAAAGUGAGCUGUGAAACUGCAAGGCAACACAUUCAAAGAAGCAAAAACUGGGUAUUGGCAUCAGUGGAAUGAUGGCAGCAUCUCUCUGUGCCCUGGAUUGCUGCUUCUGACAAGGCCAGUGAUGCUUGCUUUGCAGUCAGUGGAUUUCCCUCCCUUGGAAAGUUCAAAUGUACUGCAGUCAUACAUGCUGCCUCAGGCGUCUGCCUCCAUUGACUUGCACUGCUUGAGAACUGUAGACUCUCAGCUUUUCCUAAGCGGUCUGGAAAAUACCACUAUUUCUUAAAGUUAAAUAUUAGUCAUUUUACUAGCUGUAAAUCUAGAAAAUGAGUGUUCCCUCUCUCCUGCUUCUCAAUUUCUGUAAGCCUAAAACAAUGUCUUGUGGUACGUUAGAAGUUUGCUUGUUUUAGAAGAAUCACUGAUCACAGUAGGUUUUUCCAUUUUCUAGGAGCAGCACUGUGAAGCAAAAGUGGAAGAGAUGAGAAUUGGAAAAAAAUAUGAUAGACUUUUAUAGGCCUGGAAAUCAAGAAAACUAUGUCUUCAGAUCACCAGAGGCCCUAGAAGAAUGGAGAAAAAGAGUUUUUGAUGUUAGCUCUCAAGUAAAGAACCAGGCCCUCUGGCUCACAUGAGAUAGAUUGAGGCAAAUAGGCGAAGUCACUUCACUACAAAAUGACACAGGUUUUCCGCUUAGAGAGAUUAGAAAGAGAGACUGCAUGGGAUUUACCCAGGCUGAAAAUUCUCAGUACAAGAGUAUUUAUAAAACUACAGUUAGUGUUUAUUGAACUUGUUCUAUUUUACUGCCUUGAACAAAAGUUUUAUUUAUGUAUCCAAAAGAGGUUUUCUUGUUGUCUGUGUAUAUGCCUGACAAAUUAGUAAAAUGCACAAAAGAAGAUACUGAAAAGAAACCCCAUAAACUAUUUAUACACAGAAAGCAGCAAGUUUGGUCUCUUCAGUUCUAUUUAAUUUCUGAAAAGUGGUUUCGGUUUUUUUCAGUGCAGAGUUCUUGUUCUUUUGACUGUUCUGUAUAACUUCUCUUUCAAGCCUAGGCAUCGACACAUUCCUCUGUUCUUUCUUUUUCUCCACACAUCUGCAUCAGACGUUGUAUUUGUUCAGCAAGACAGCUAAAAUCAUUGCCUUUCAAACUUGAACUAUGCAUUACACUUUCACAGCGGACUCUUGUUUUAAGGAAAACUUUGUUCUUCAUCCAUUCAGCGAUUAGGAAAGAGACAAUUUUACUGCAGAAACACAUGAUCUCAAAUCAUGCACAGAGGGCUUGUAGAAUGGGUACAUCUCUGUAUGCGAAUUCUGAUUUACCUUCAUCUUCCAUCUUUUGAGGUUUUCAGGGUCUAGAUGUAAUACAAGCAGCUCGUUUUGACAGAUUUAGAAUGUCUCAUUUGGUAAUUAGAAUUUCAUAGUAUCAAAGAAUCAUAGAAUCACAAGGUUGGAACGGACAUACAAGAUCAUCAACUAUCCUCCUAUCACCAUUACUAACCAUAUCUUGUAGCACCUGCUGAACACUGCCAGGGACAGCGACUUUACCAUGUCCCUUGGCAGGCCAUUCCAGUGCCUGGCCACUCUCUGAGAGAAAAAGCUUUUCCUUACGUCUAAUCAAGAUCUCCCCUCACACAGCUUAUGGUCAUUUCCUCAGGUCCUGUUUGUUGCCUGGGAGAAGAGGCCAAAUCCUUCUUCACCACAACCUC